rnacentral:lncRNA from 1 species
CAGCACUGAUGCAAACACAUGAUAGGGAGCCACCCUGCUUUCAAAGAGAAAGCAACCAUCUUCUGAUCACAACAGACCCCAAGCCUCGUCUCCGAUGGACUCUCGAGCUUCAUGAACGAUUUGUCGAUGCUGUCACCCUGCUUGGAGGACCAGACAGUAAUUAGUCAUCAACUCUUCUUCUCACUAUAUAUAUAUAUGCUCAAGAAUUCAUCACGCAUGCAUGGAGUAUUAUAUAUAUAUAAUAAUCUUGUGUCACUGACUGUUAACUGACAAUCUGCCUGAAUCCUCACCUUGUUUCUCCUGCUUUCUUUUCCAUGUCUGAACCCAAUCUAGAGGCCACACCUAAGGCCAUUAUGAGAAUUAUGGGAGUUAAGGGUCUGACCCUUUAUCACUUGAAGAGCCACCUUCAGGUUAAUUUCUCCUUCAUUUCUCUAGAUUUUCAGCUACACAUAUCUUCCCAUCUUAGGAUAUCUUAUUUCUGUUACUUUUUGACUAUGAACACAGAAAUUUAGGCUUGGAAAGCAACCACAGAACUAUCUUAAUGAACAGGCAAUUAGAGAUGGUAAGGAACUAGGGUGCCAUCAUGCCUCCGUUUCUGCUUACUAGUCUAUAUAUCCUUCAAUUCCUGCUGCUAGUCUACUUCUCUUCUACAAUCCUGCAAUUGGAAGCUUGUGGCAUUUGUAUUGGUAUGUAAUCUAAUUCAGUCUCUCUCUUUUUGGCAGCAACUGGUCAUCUAAAAAACCUACAGGAUGCUGCUACAGCCAGAAUCUUCGGUGAUGGCUUGAACAAGUACGUAUAUAAAGGCAACUCAGCCAGUGUUUUCUACUCACAACAGUUUCAAGUAUAUUUUAGACCAUGGAAACUAUCAUCAUUUCAUUCAUAGGUUUCCUUCAACAUUUUAUCAGGAACAUCCACCGAAACGAAGUGCUUGGAACGCAAAUACAAGCACAGAGGACUUUAGAUGAGCAAUUAAAGGUAAAUCCUAAGAAAUUACAGAAAACCUUAAGGCUAGUGACAAAAAUUUCAAGUUCUCUGUCUUAAAAAGGGGGGGAAAAAGCUCCUUACCUUUUCGAGUAUUCUGUUCUCAUUGUCCUAAUAGGUAAAGCACCACCUUCAAAAGAGAAUUGAUGCACAGAGAAAGUAUAUGCAAACAAUUCUAGAAAACGCGUACAGAACAGUCUCUGCAGAAAAUAGGCUUUUUGAUGAUCAACGAG